GUUACUAUUGUGUUAAAACACCUGUGACACUGUGAUCUUUCUAAUCCUGGUAGGUUUAACUUUGCCUAGUCUUCCGAAGCAUAUUUUUGUUUUGAUUUAAACCUGUAACAGCUGUGACGUGAGGACUGAACAUUAUUUGAUGACAAUCUAUAAACUAAGAGUCGGAUGAUAGAUUUCAUUCAUCUCUUGUUAAGUUUUACAAGAGUAAAGGAAUCAUGUAGACACAGCUGUGUGCCCACAUUGCAUGCUCUUUGGAUGAUUCUUUGCACCUGACAAAACAGGCUUAGGGAAGGAUUAUACCCUCUACCCCACUGAAGUUAGAGAUGACUGUGUGACUUUCUUUGGUUUCCUGGUGAAGUCACUGAAGAAUCAGUUCUCAUGUCUUGAUACUCUGUCCCCUGCUGCUGCAAUGUGGAAGUAUAUUUUAAGAUGGAAGUUGGACAAGACUGAAGGACACUGGAAUGCUAAAACUACUGCCCGGAAUACAGCUGCCAGAAGAGUUCUAGAACAUACAACAGGAUCUGCAUAAGCAAUACUAAAUUUACACAUGGUUAAGUCACUGAAAUUUUGACAAUUUUCAGAACGAAGACUAGACUUGAUGCUUUCAUUUGGUACUAAUCUAACUCAUAGUAUGAUGGUUGCACAGUUUAUUAGCAAAACCAUAAUCAACAUUGUGAGCUUUUACACACAGUGGUGGAAAACUUCCCCUUCCCAAUUAUUACUUCUUGUUAUAUAGAACUGUUUCAAAAUUCUA